ensembl:lncRNA
AAUAAAGUCCCGGUGUGUGUGCGAGCGUGUUGUCUGUGGAUGCGGGUGCCUGUGAGUGUGAGCGCGUGCGCUAGCGCUGCAACCUCGCACGAAUAAUAAAAUCUGGGUCUAUGUGAGUGUGUGUCUGUGUGCGCGCGUGCCUGCGGGGAUGUGUGUACUACGCUUGUAACUCACCCUGAAUAAAGUCCGGGCGCGCGCGAGAGUGUGCGCGCGUGCACGCGGGGCUGCGUUAGCGCUGUGACACGCCGUGAAUAAAGUCCGGGGCUGCGUGUGCGCGCGCGCGUGCCUGCGGGAGUACGCGAGUGCAGGCAUGAGGGGGAACGUGUGCAUACAUACGUGUGUGUGUGUGUGUGCGAAGUUGAAAUUGCAAGAGUUUACCAAAUGCUUCCCCGGAGCGUGCGAGAAGAAACGGCCACUACCCGAGUAAAGAGCAUCUCUCUCUCCCAGUUUAACCAUAAGUCUUUCAGAAAAGACAUUUUCUGCAACUUCCGAGGAGGUCCUUAUUAAAUGCUUCUUGACUGAAUUACUGAACCACCACAGACACACAUUUAUCAGGAUAUAGGAGAUAGAAAGUUGACCCCAAAGUCCAGAAGGAAGAGGAGGAGGAGGAGGAGAAAAAGGAGGAAGAGAAGGAGGAGGAGGAGGAGAAGGAAGGAAGAGGAGGAAGAAGAGGAGGAGGAGGAGAAGAAGAAAGAGGAGGAAAAAAGAAAAAGGAGAAGGAGGAGGAGAAGAAAAGGAGGAGGAAAAACAGUUUAGUAAAACAAAUUAAUUUAUUCACAUAGUGUAUGUGAUGAUUUACAUCCAUGGUCCACCAACUCUAGUAAGAUAAAAGGAGACAGUGAGUGAAUGAGGGGAUGGUGAACAGUGUCAAUUUUUUCAGAAAGGUAGAGAAGAAUAAAAACAGAAAGAAGACUAGGAAACAGGCUUAUCAGUGGAUAAUUUGUGACCUCUGGUAGAGCAGGUUCAAUAGAAUGGUUAGUCAGAAACCCAGUGAUAUCUAGCUAGUCAGUGUCAUCCGAAGUCUUCCUGGCCCCAAACCUGGUAUUCUACCCUGUACUCCAAUAUACUUAUAUUCAAAUAUGAAUAAUGGGGCAGCUAAAUGGUGCAGUGGAUAGAGCGCUGGCCCUGAAGUUAGGAGGACCUGGAGUUCAAAUGUAGCCUCAUUCAUUUAACACUGUCUGACCCUGGACAAAUCACUUAACUCCCAUUGUCUCAAAAUAAACAAAUAAGCAAGGGGGUAUUUUUCUUUUUUACUAGGUAUAGCUAAGACUAAGUGACUGACAGGGUCCUUUUGCACAGUGAUUCUGAAUGGAGAAAAGGAAAAAUGUUGAGAAAAUAGGAGCAUCAGGUAGAGAUUAUUAUUAUUUUUUUUUUUUUUGCUGAGGCAAUUGGGGUUAAGUGACUUGCCCAGGGUCACACAGUUAGGAAGUGUUAAGUAUCUUAGACCAGAUUUGAACUCAGGUCCUCCUGACUUCAGGGUUGGUGCUGUAUCCACUGCAUCACCUAACUGUCCAGAGAUUAUUUUGUCUUUAAGAUCUUUAAAAUGUUUGCACAUAAUAGGGCCCUGUAUAGAGCCCCAG